rfam:Myotis brandtii contig277137, whole genome shotgun sequence.
AGGCCUGCAUAGAGAGAGGCAGGGCCUGAUCCGCAGCCUCUGUUGCAGCUGUUGAUCAGCCCUUGCCUCUCUCUCUCCUGGCU